rnacentral:rRNA from 1 species
UUGCGCAAUGGGCGAAAGCUGCACGCAGCAACGCCGCGUGAAGAAUGACGGCCUUCGGGUUGUAAACCUCUUUCAGCAGGGAAGAAGCGAAAGUAMCGGUACCUGCAGAAGAAGCACCGGCUAACUACGUGCCAGCAGCCGCGGUAAUACGUAGGGUGCAAGCAUUGUCCGGAUUUAUUGGGCGUAAAGAGCUCGUAGGCGGUCAGUCGCGUCGGAUGUAAAAUCCCAGAGCUUAACUCUGGGCCUGCAUUCGAUACGGGCUGACUAGAGUGUUGUAGGGGAGACUGGAACUCCUGGUGUAGCGGUGAAAUGCGCAGAUAUCAGGAAGAACACCGGUGGCGAAGGCGGGUCUCUGGGCAACUACUGACGCUGAGGAGCGAAAGCCGGGGAGCAAACAGGAUUAAAUCCCUGGUAGUCCACGCCGUAAACGGUGGGCGCUAGGUGUGGGGAACAUUCCACGUUCUCCGUGCCGCAGUAACGCAUUAAGCGCCCCGCCUGGGGAGUACGGCCGCAAGGUUAAAAUUUAAAGGAAUUGACGGGGGCCCGUACAAGCGGCGGAGCAUGCGGUUUAAUUCGAUGCAACGCGAAGAACCUUACCUAGGCUUUACAGUUGGGGAAUUCUGGCAGAGAUGUCAGGUCUGCAAGGGCCCCAAUACAGGCGGUGCAUGGCUGUCGUCAGCUCGUGUCGUGAGAUGUUGGGUUAAGUCCCGCAACGAGCGCAACCCUCGUCGUAUGUUGCCAGCGGAUAAUGCCGGGGAUUCAUACGAGACUGCCGGGGUCAAUUCGGAGGAAGGUGGGGAUGACGUCAAGUCAUCAUGCUCUUUAUGUCUAGGGCUGCABGCAUGCUACAAUGGCCGGUACAAAGGGCUGCGAUACCGUAAGGUGGAGCGAAUCCCAAAAAGCCGGUUUUAGUUCGGAUUGGGGUCUGCAACUCGACCCCAUGAAGUCGGAGUCGCU